rnacentral:rRNA from 1 species
AUUGAACGCUGGCGGCAGGCCUAACACAUGCAAGUCGAGCGAGCGGCGGACGGGUGAGUAAUGUCUGGGAAACUUUCUGAUGUAGGGGGAUAACUCCUGUAAACGGUAGCUAAUAUCGCAUACCAUCUUAUGUCUCCAGUUGGGAUUAGCUAGUAGGUGGGGUAAUGGCUCACCUAGGCGACGAUCCCUAGCUGGUCUGAGAGGAUGACCAGCCACACUGGAAAUGAGACACGGUCCAGACUCCUACGGGAGGCAGCAGUGGGGAAUAUUGCACAAUGGGCGCAAGCCUGAUGCAGCCAUGCCGCGUGUGUGAAGAAGGCCUUCGGGUUGUAAAGCACUUUCAGCGAGGAGGCGUUACUCGCAGAAGAAGCACCGGCUAACUCCGUGCCAGCAGCCGCGGUAAUAC